rnacentral:rRNA from 1 species
GACAGAGGAGGCGAGCGUUAUCCGGAGUUAUUGGGCGUAAAGGGUACGUAGGCGGCUGGGCAAGUCUGGGGUUAAAGACCACAGCUUAACUGUGGGGGGGCCUUGGAAACUGACCGGCUGGAGUGGGGCAGGGGUUGCGGGAAUUCCCGGUGUAGCGGUGAAAUGCGUAGAUAUCGGGAAGAACACCGGUGGCGAAAGAGCGCAUCGGGGCCCUAACUGACGCUGAGGUACGAAAGCUAGGGGAGCGAAUGGG